GACGAACGCUGGCGGCGUGCUUAACACAUGCAAGUCGAACGAAGUGGCGAACGGGUGAGUAACGCGUAAUCAACCUGCUCUUCAGAGGGGGUCAACAGUUGGAACCGACUGCUAAUACCGCAUACUGAUGGAGUGGAUUGCGUCUGAUUAGCUAGUUGGAGGGGUAACGGCCCACCAAGGCGAUGAUCAGUAGGCGGUCUGAGAGGAUGAACGGCCACAAUGGAACUGAGACACGGCCCAGACUCCUACGGGAGGCAGCAGUGGGGAAUAUUCGGCAAUGGACGAAAGUCUGACCGAGCAACGCCGCGUGAGUGAAGAAGGUUUUCGGAUCGUAAAACUCUGUUGUUAGAGAAGCGGUAUCUAACCAGAAAGCCACGGCUAACUACGUGCCAGCAGCCGCGGUAAUUC
rnacentral:rRNA from 1 species